rnacentral:rRNA from 1 species
UACGAAGGGGGCUAGCGUUGUUCGGAAUCACUGGGCGUAAAGCGCACGCAGGCGGAUUGAUAAGUCAGGGGUGAAAUCCCGGAGCUCAACUUCGGAAUUGCCUUUGAUACUGUCUAUCUUCGAGUUCGGGAGAGGUUGGCGGAAUUCCUAGUGUAGAGGUGAAAUUCGUAGAUAUUAGGAAGAACACCAGUGGCGAAGGCGGCCAACUGGCCCGAUACUGACGCUCAUGUGCGAAAGCGUGG